rnacentral:sRNA from 1 species
ACUGUCUAAAGUUGAGAUGGGAUGUCCCAGAUGAUAGGGCUCCUGGGAUUUCAGACCCAAGACCAGCAGGACUCCAGUCACCUCUACCCCAGCUCUCCAGGACACAGCACUCCCAACUCUGAGUGACGUCCCACCUCUGGUCCUUGCAGCACAACCAACGUGGGAAUCACACCCUCCAGACCUCCCACAGCUCCACCCCAGACUGGGCGCUGGCCCUGCCUCCAUUUCAGCUGUGACAACCUCAGAGCCGUGUUGGCCCAAGCAUGACAAGGACGUAUGAAAACUUCCAGUACUUGGAGAAUGAGGUGAAAGUCCAGGGGUUUAAAAAUGGUAAGAGGAAAGGGGAAACUCUCCUAAAAUGCCCUCUUUAUAUGUUUAGAAGGAUUUCUCCUGUCAUUUCUGUACCUCCACCACGUGCACUGGUGGGUCCUAACUCUGAGGAGGUCAGGCCCCAGCCUCUGACGGGCCUAGUGUGAAGAGGAUGCAAGGUCUCUAGAAAGACUGGGACAGGGAGGAUCACAGUGGACCCAGCUUCUGAUGCUCUGUGGGGUGGGGACGAGAGCUGCGCAUUGGUGGAGGGAAAGAUAAGUAG